GGAUGUGAUCAUACCAGCACUAACGCUCUGGAUCCCAUCAGAACUCCGAAGAUAAGCACGCUUGGGCGAGAGUAGUAAUUGGAUGGGUGACCCCUAGGAAGUCCUCGUGUUGCAUCCA